GACUGUUAAUGAUGAUCUUGUUUUUAAAACAUUGGGAAUCUCUCUGAAAAAGUGUGAAAGAUACCUUUUUUCUGAUAACAGUG
ensembl:snoRNA SNORD79 Small nucleolar RNA SNORD79